rnacentral:tRNA from 1 species
UCCUGGCGGCUCAGGGGUAAAGAAUCUGCCUGCAAUGCAGAAGCCGCAGGAGACGCAGGUUCGAUCCCUGUGUCAGGAA